UUUUUGCGAGGACGUUUUUCUGUCAUUAGGUUGAUGGUUGAAUGGACUUGCAUCGUUUACUGUGAAAAAAUUAGAGUGUUUAAAGCAGGCGUUUGCUCAUUGAAUACUUCAGCAUGGAAUAAUAAGAUACGACCUUGGUGGUCUAUUUUGUUGGUUUGCACACCAGGGUA
rnacentral:ncRNA from 1 species